CAUGCCUUUGCUUGCCACCCAGCUUAGCCUCUUAUCUCAGCUUCUGAAACAUUCUUCAAUCUUCUGAAGGUGGCAGCUGUUAAUACAGAACUUGAUGAGGAAGAUGCCAGCAUCUCACCUGGAAUUCACAAAACCCUAGCCAGCCCUAACUCACAAGGGCCUGCACACCCUUUAAUCCAGCAAAAUUAACUCAAGAGCAUGUGGGACCUGAAAUCCAGUCUCUGCAUAUUAUUGCAAGUGCUUCAAGCAAAGAAAAGAACCUGAUUUCACAUUUGAGAUGCAUUUUAAACCAAAGGUCUGUUCUGGUACCUCCACAAGGAAGCAUCAAUCGGACCACAGAAAAUUUACAUCCAGGGAUUUGUCUUCUGGAAUGGAUCUCACUGACCUACAAGAAUUGAAUUUGCCCGUGUCUUCACAACACCUUGUUAGUGGUAUCAAAUCAGGAGAUUGAAGUGAGCCAUAGUGAGAGUAUGGACACCACAGAAAUCAACUUACAUAUCAAGGCUUUUUCUUUAUU
rnacentral:lncRNA from 1 species